rnacentral:rRNA from 1 species
CAAAGGAGUGAUCCGGCAGAGGAUGGACAUGCGGCGCAUUAGCUAGUCGGCGGGGUAACGGCCCACCGAGGCUACGAUGCGUAGGGGUUCUGAGAGGAAGGUCCCCCACACUGGUACUGAGACACGGACCAGACUCCUACGGGAGGCAGCAGUGAGGAAUAUUGGUCAAUGGGCGGAAGCCUGAACCAGCCAAGUCGCGUGAGGGAAGACGGUCCUAUGGAUUGUAAACCUCUUUUGCAGGGGAGCAAGGCGCGGUACGUGUACCGCGAAGGAGAGUACCCUGAGAAAAAGCAUCGGCUAACUCCGUGCCAGCAGCCGCGGUAAUACGGAGGAUGCGAGCGUUAUCCGGAUUUAUUGGGUUUAAAGGGUGCGCAGGCGGACUGUUAAGUCAGCGGUAAAAUGUCGGUGCUCAACACCGGCCGGCCGUUGAAACUGGCAGCCUUGAGUGAGCGAGGAGUAUGCGGAAUGCGUGGUGUAGCGGUGAAAUGCAUAGAUAUCACGCAGAACUCCGAUUGCGAAGGCAGCAUACCGGCGCUCAACUGACGCUCAGGCACGAAAGCGUGGGUAUCGAACAGGCUUAGAUACCCUGGUAGUCCACGCAGUAAACGAUGAAUGCUCACUGUCCGGGCCGUUUAAGGCCUGG